UACGUAGGGGGCAAGCGUUGUCCGGAUUUAUUGGGCGUAAAGAGCGUGUAGGCGGCUUUGCAAGUCCGUUGUGGAAACUCGAGGCUCAACCUCGAGACGCCGGUGGAAACUGCAAAGCUAGAGUCCGGAAGAGGAGAGUGGAAUUCCUGGUGUAGCGGUGAAAUGCGCAGAUAUCAGGAAGAACACCCGUGGCGAAGGCGGCUCUCUGGGACGGUACUGACGCUGAGACGCGAAAGCGUGGGGAGCAAACAGG
rnacentral:rRNA from 1 species